GAAUCUCUAUCUAGAGAUCCCUCCUCUUGGAGCCCUUUUGCAAGCUCAGGACACAGUUGGAAGGGACCUCAAGAGAUCAUUGAGUACAUCAUCCCUGACAAAGCAGUAUUUCAGAACUUGACUCACUUUGGAAGACUGCCAAUAGUGCAAACUUGGAAUGAGGAGAAGAUCCCUCACUGCAAACUUUCAACCCAUGGUAAGGGCAAAAUUCUAGCCAAGGUGCCAGCAGGAUCUACACUGCACUGGGGAAAGCUCAUGUGAAAGCAAAAGCCCACCAGAAGCCAACAACUCCCAGGAGAGCAGCGGACAAGACACAGACAGAGCCAGGAGUAACAGUGACCCCCCUCCACUCUACCACUUCCAACACAUAACACACUUGCAAGAGUUCCAGUCAUGUUAUCCACCCAAAAGAAAGCUAUGUCCUCUGCAUCUCCUGUGGCCUUUCCAGCAUCUGGAACUGACCGAGUUACCCAGACAGAGCCCCCAAGUGAACAUGCUUCCAUUGAGAUCUCAGUUUUUGAGGUGUGCCCAGGUUUUCUGUCAGGAGAUGGAUUGGUGGGAUCACAAUCUACUAUCCCUGAAACAGAAGCAUCAGCCAAUUGUAACACAGGAAAUGAAAUAUUCCCUACUCUCUUGCCAUAAAGGAGAAGGAGGGAACCUAAGAUUCAGGGUUGAGUGGAAGCAGAUUUCUGCUCAGAAAAAGGCAAAUCACCUCUCCUGCCUACCUCACGUUCCAAGAUGUCUUUAUAAAAGUUGUAUGAAACUCUGGAAUGUAAUGGACAGACAAACGAUAAUGCAGAUGGUCUGUCCAGGUUGGAGGGGUUGCCUAGGGCAAGUCAACCUAGUCCCUGUGUCACUGCCACCUCUGUCAAGAAAAAACAGAAGGGUUUUUCUCACAAGUAUUUCCCUUCUGAGGGGAAUAGAGGGCCCAAUAUGUCAACCAGACCCAAUCCAUUGGGGUGCAUCAGGCCCAGCACUGCCAGCUGAGCAAGAAAAAGGAUUGUUCUACUGUAUGGGGAUUGGUAGGUCAUGGCCUAACCAGAGAUUCAGUAACGGCUGAGAAGGCUAACUCAGGGCACACACAUAGAAGCAAUGCACCUGGACCAAAGGUCUAUCUCUCCUCCCUCUCAUUUAAGGGUUAAUAGCCAAGAGAGGAAGAUCUCUGUUCAGAGAUUGCCCCUUCUGGAGACUUCGCUGACCUUUGGAAUGGGUAGGUUAUUUGUCUCUAUUUCGUCUUCUGAACUAUAUCUUGACAAAGAACUUCACAAGUGUGUUCAUAUCCUAGUAGAAGGUAAUAUCAACACAUUCCCCUGCUCCACACCCACCCUGGGUGUGGAAGAAAGUAAAUUAAAAAGAAGAGUUCCUGCUAUAUUAUUUGUUACUAAAUUGUAGUGUAAUAACUAAUUAUGCAUACAAGAUUUGUAUUAUAAAGAAAUCUAAAUUAAAAUGUAUGAAUUUACUGAUUUGGAGUAAGCCCCAUGGAAUCCAGAUUAGGUUCUGUGAAUAAAAAAGAGCUGAAGAACAUUUGAGGGGCUUACUGAAUGUAGAUAAACAGGAUGUUGACUGUUUUAG
ensembl:lncRNA